rnacentral:rRNA from 1 species
UGCAAGUCGAACGCUGAAGCUCCAGCUUGCUGGGGUGGAUGAGUGGCGAACGGCUUAGUAAUACGUGAGUAACCUGCCCUUGACUCUGGGAUAAGCCUGGGAAACCGGGUCUAAUACUGGAUACGACGUCCUACCGCAUGGUGGGGCGUGGAAAGGGUUUUACUGGUUUUGGAUGGGCUCACGGCCUAUCAGCUUGUUGGUGGGGUAAUGGCCUACCAAGGCGACGACGGGUAGCCGGCCUGAGAGGGUGACCGGCCACACUGGGACUGAGACACGGCCCAGACUCCUACGGGAGGCAGCAGUGGGGAAUAUUGCACAAUGGGCGGAAGCCUGAUGCAGCGACGCCGCGUGAGGGAUGACGGCCUUCGGGUUGUAAACCUCUUUCAGCAGGGAAGAAGCCACAAGUGACGGUACCUGCAGAAGAAGCGCCGGCUAACUACGUGCCAGCAGCCGCGGUAAUACGUAGGGCGCAAGCGUUGUCCGGAAUUAUUGGGCGUAAAGAGCUCGUAGGCGGUUUGUCGCGUCUGCUGUGAAAGCCCGGGGCUCAACCCCGGGUCUGCAGUGGGUACGGGCAGACUAGAGUGCAGUAGGGGAGACUGGAAUUCCUGGUGUAGCGGUGAAAUGCGCAGAUAUCAGGAGGAACACCGAUGGCGAAGGCAGGUCUCUGGGCUGUUACUGACGCUGAGGAGCGAAAGCAUGGGGAGCGAACAGGAUUAGAUACCCUGGUAGUCCAUGCCGUAAACGUUGGGCACUAGGUGUGGGGGACAUUCCACGUUCUCCGCGCCGUAGCUAACGCAUUAAGUGCCCCGCCUGGGGAGUACGGCCGCAAGGCUAAAACUCAAAGGAAUUGACGGGGGCCCGCACAAGCGGCGGAGCAUGCGGAUUAAUUCGAUGCAACGCGAAGAACCUUACCAAGGCUUGACAUCCACCGGACCGCACUGGAGACAGUGCUUCCCUUCGGGGCUGGUGGACAGGUGGUGCAUGGUUGUCGUCAGCUCGUGUCGUGAGAUGUUGGGGUUAAGUCCCGCAACGAGCGCAACCCUCGUUCUAUGUUGCCAGCACGUGGAUGGUGGGGGACUCCUAAGGAG